rnacentral:rRNA from 1 species
UACAGAGGGUGCGAGCGUUAAUCGGAAUUACUGGGCGUAAAGCGUGCGUAGACGGCUAUCUAAGUCGGGUGUGAAAUCCCCGGGCUUAACCUGGGAACUGCAUUGGUGACUGGCAGGCUAGAGUAUGGCAGAGGGGGGUAGAAUUCCACGUGUAGCAGUGAAAUGCGUAGAGAUGUGGAGGAAUACCGAUGGCGAAGGCAGCCCCCUGGGCCAAUACUGACGCUCAUGCACGAAAGCGUGGGGAGCAAACAGG